rnacentral:rRNA from 1 species
CCUACGGGCGGCAGCAGUGGGGAAUAUUGGACAAUGGGCGAAAGCCUGAUCCAGCCAUGCCGCGUGUGUGAAGAAGGCCUUCGGGUUGUAAAGCACUUUCAGUGGGGAAGAAAGCCUUGGGGCUAAUACCCUCGAGGAAGGACAUCACCCACAGAAGAAGCACCGGCUAACUCCGUGCCAGCAGCCGCGGUAAUACGGAGGGUGCGAGCGUUAAUCGGAAUUACUGGGCGUAAAGCGCGCGUAGGCGGUCUGAUAAGCCGGUUGUGAAAGCCCCGGGCUCAACCUGGGAACGGCAUCCGGAACUGUCAGGCUAGAGUGCAGGAGAGGAAGGUAGAAUUCCCGGUGUAGCGGUGAAAUGCGUAGAGAUCGGGAGGAAUACCAGUGGCGAAGGCGGCCUUCUGGACUGACACUGACGCUGAGGUGCGAAAGCGUGGGUAGCAAACAGGAUUAGAUACCCGAGUAAUC